UACGUAGGGGGCAAGCGUUGUCCGGAUUCAUUGGGCGUAAAGGGUGCGUAGGUGGCGCCAUAAGUCGGGUGUGAAAUCUCGGGGCUUAACUCCGAAACUGCAUUCGAUACUGUGGUGCUUGAGGACUGGAGAGGAGACUGGAAUUCAUGGUGUAGCAGUGAAAUGCGUAGAUAUCUGGAGGAAUACCGGUGGCGAAGGCGACUACCUGGCCUGUUCUUGACGCUGAGGCGCGAAAGCUAGGGGAGCAAACGGG
rnacentral:rRNA from 1 species